ensembl:lncRNA
GAAAGGGGGAGCCUUUGCGGGGUCUUAGCAAAUACGCGGGCAGUCGAGGAAACAACUGGCAGAAACAAGGAGAUUUUCACUGGGAGAUUGAUGACGGAGCUGAGGGAGGAUUGAUAAGCAAACUGCUGGGUGGGGGUGAGGCAGUUGUAAGGUCAGGGGACUUGAGGAAACAGUGGCUUGAAUGAAUGAAUGAGAGGAAAAGGUGGAGAUGCGCCCCAUAAAGUUGUUUUUAGCAUGGGAACUGUUUUGUUUUCGAUAUCUCGGUCAGCAUUUUUCAGAAUCCAGCCUCAGCGUUCUACCUUUUCAAUACGUGUUUGAUGAACAAACCCGUCGACCUGGGCCGGGCAGCAUAUGCUGUCGGAGCACCGACGAGUCUGUCAAAGCUGAUUGUGGGAUGACUCGGAAUUGGAGGGUAGAGUGAGCUCAACGACCGAAUGCCACGCCAUCACCUGCACGUCAAAUCUCUUCUUGGUGCAAUGAGUCCUCAAGCCUUCAGCGACGUCCCUGCAGGCAGAAACAGAAUGGCUGCGCCUCAUCGCCGACAACAUUUCAUCUCUGUGAUUGAUUUGUGUCAAGUCAAAGCACAAGGACUCACCUUUUAGCUCAGCACUGCAAGGAAGUAUAUGUUUGGUCCCCAAAACACUGGACUUUUCCCCAUCA